CCUACGGGAGGCAGUAGUGAGGAAUAUUGGUCAAUGGGCGAGAGCCUGAACCAGCCAAGUCGCGUGAGGGAGUACUGCCCUAUGGGUUGUAAACCUCUUUUGUCGGGGAGCAAAAGCCGGACGUGUCCGGCUGUGAGAGUACCCGAAGAAAAAGCAUCGGCUAACUCCGUGCCAGCAGCCGCGGUAAUACGGAGGAUGCGAGCGUUAUCCGGAUUUAUUGGGUUUAAAGGGUGCGCAGGCGGAUUUUUAAGUCAGCGGUAAAAUCGUGGGGCUCAACCCCAUCCAGCCGUUGAAACUGGGGAUCUAGAGUGUGCGAGAGGUAUGCGGAAGGCGUGGUGUAGCGGUGAAAUGCAUAGAUAUCACGCAGAACCCCGAUUGCGAAGGCAGCAUACCGGUGCACAACUGACGCUCAGGCACGAAAGCGUGGGUAUCGAACAGGAUUAGAUACCCCAGUAGUC
rnacentral:rRNA from 1 species